rnacentral:rRNA from 1 species
UACGUAGGCAGCGAGCGUUGUUCGGAAUUACUGGGCGUAAAGAGUGUGUAGGCGGUGCUCCCAGUCUGUUGUGAAAUCUCCCGGCUUAACUGGGAGGGUGCAGCGGAAACUAGAGUGCUAGAGGGUGGGAGAGGGAUGCGGAAUUCCAGGUGUAGCGGUGAAAUGCGUAGAUAUCUGGAGGAACACCGGUGGCGAAGGCGGCAUCCUGGACCGGCAUUGACGCUGAGGCGCGAAAGCCAGGGGAGCAAACGGG